CCGUCGGAAUCUGGGAGGACCAUCUCCUAAGGCUAAAUACUCUCUAGUGACCGAUAGUGAACCAGUACCGUGAGGGAAAGGUGAAAAGCACCCCGGAAGGAGAGUGAAAUAGAACCUGAAACCGUGUGCUUACAAGUAGUCAGAGCCCGUUAAUGGGUGAUGGCGUGCCUUUUGUAGAAUGAACCGGCGAGUUACGAUUUGAUGCAAGGUUAAGCAGUAAAUGUGGAGCCGUAGCGAAAGCGAGUCUGAAUAGGGCGUUUAGUAUUUGGUCGUAGACCCGAAACCAGGUGAUCUACCCUUGGUCAGGUUGAAGUUCAGGUAACACUGAAUGGAGGACCGAACCGACUUACGUUGAAAAGUGAGCGGAUGAACUGAGGGUAGCGGAGAAAUUCCAAUCGAACCUGGAGAUAGCUGGUUCUCUCCGAAAUAGCUUUAGGGCUAGCCUCAAGUGAUGAUUAUUGGAGGUAGAGCACUGUUUGGACGAGGGGCCCCUCUCGGGUUACCGAAUUCAGACAAACUCCGAAUGCCAAUUAAUUUAACUUGGGAGUCAGAACAUGGGUGAUAAGGUCCGUGUUCGAAAGGGAAACAGCCCAGACCACCAGCUAAGGUCCCAAAAUAUAUGUUAAGUGGAAAAGGAUGUGGCGUUGCCCAGACAACUAGGAUGUUGGCUUAGAAGCAGCCAUCAUUUAAAGAGUGCGUAAUAGCUCACUAGUCGAGUGACACUGCGCCGAAAAUGUACCGGGGCUAAACAUAUUACCGAAGCUGUGGAUUGUCCUUUGGACAAUGGUAGGAGAGCGUUCUAAGGGCGUUGAAGCAUGAUCGUAAGGACAUGUGGAGCGCUUAGAAGUGAGAAUGCCGGUGUGAGUAGCGAAAGACGGGUGAGAAUCCCGUCCACCGAUUGACUAAGGUUUCCAGAGGAAGGCUCGUCCGCUCUGGGUUAGUCGGGUCCUAAGCUGAGGCCGACAGGCGUAGGCGAUGGAUAACAGGUUGAUAUUCCUGUACCACCUAUAAUCGUUUUAAUCGAUGGGGGGACGCAGUAGGAUAGGCGAAGCGUGCGAUUGGAUUGCACGUCUAAGCAGUAAGGCUGAGUAUUAGGCAAAUCCGGUACUCGUUAAGGCUGAGCUGUGAUGGGGAGAAGACAUUGUGUCUUCGAGUCGUUGAUUUCACACUGCCGAGAAAAGCCUCUAGAUAGAAAAUAGGUGCCCGUACCGCAAACCGACACAGGUAGUCAAGAUGAGAAUUCUAAGGUGAGCGAGCGAACUCUCGUUAAGGAACUCGGCAAAAUGACCCCGUAACUUCGGGAGAAGGGGUGCUCUUUAGGGUUAACGCCCAGAAGAGCCGCAGUGAAUAGGCCCAAGCGACUGUUUAUCAAAAACACAGGUCUCUGCUAAACCGUAAGGUGAUGUAUAGGGGCUGACGCCUGCCCGGUGCUGGAAGGUUAAGAGGAGUGGUUAGCUUCUGCGAAGCUACGAAUCGAAGCCCCAGUAAACGGCGGCCGUAACUAUAACGGUCCUAAGGUAGCGAAAUUCCUUGUCGGGUAAGUUCCGACCCGCACGAAAGGCGUAACGAUUUGGGCACUGUCUCAACGAGAGACUCGGUGAAAUCAUAGUACCUGUGAAGAUGCAGGUUACCCGCGACAGGACGGAAAGACCCCGUGGAGCUUUACUGUAGCCUGAUAUUGAAAUUCGGCACAGCUUGUACAGGAUAGGUAGGAGCCUUUGAAACGUGAGCGCUAGCUUACGUGGAGGCGCUGGUGGGAUACUACCCUAGCUGUGUUGGCUUUCUAACCCGCACCACUUAUCGUGGUGGGAGACAGUGUCAGGCGGGCAGUUUGACUGGGGCGGUCGCCUCCUAAAAGGUAACGGAGGCGCUCAAAGGUUCCCUCAGAAUGGUUGGAAAUCAUUCAUAGAGUGUAAAGGCAUAAGGGAGCUUGACUGCGAGACCUACAAGUCGAGCAGGGUCGAAAGACGGACUUAGUGAUCCGGUGGUUCCGCAUGGAAGGGCCAUCGCUCAACGGAUAAAAGCUACCCCGGGGAUAACAGGCUUAUCUCCCCCAAGAGUUCACAUCGACGGGGAGGUUUGGCACCUCGAUGUCGGCUCAUCGCAUCCUGGGGCUGUAGUCGGUCCCAAGGGUUGGGCUGUUCGCCCAUUAAAGCGGUACGCGAGCUGGGUUCAGAACGUCGUGAGACAGUUCGGUCCCUAUCCGUCGUGGGCGUAGGAAAUUUGAGAGGAGCUGUCCUUAGUACGAGAGGACCGGGAUGGACAUACCUCUGGUGUACCAGUUGUCGUGCCAACGGCAUAGCUGGGUAGCUAUGUGUGGACGGGAUAAGUGCUGAAAGCAUCUAAGCAUGAAGCCCCCCUCAAGAUGAGAUUUCCCAACUUCGGUUAUAAGAUCCCUCAAAGAUGAUGAGGUUAAUAGGUUCGAGGUGGAAGCAUGGUGACAUGUGGAGCUGACGAAUACUAAUCGAUCGAAGACUUAAUCAA
rnacentral:rRNA from 1 species